rnacentral:pre_miRNA from 1 species
AUACUACUCCAUCCGUUCGGAAUUACUUGUCUCGAAAAUGGAUGUAUCUAGAACUAAAAUACGUCUAGAUACAUCUAUUUAUGCGACAAGUAAUUCCAAACGGAGGGAGUAUAAG